UCUUGCUCAAGUCUGUUCGGUGCCCUAUUCAUUCAGUUGUGUGCGAUCUAUGUGCCUAUGACUCCAAAUUUACUGCCCUAUUCAUUCAAUCCCGAUCGCGACCGCAUCAAGUAAAUUUUCUCGUUGCCUUUUAAGCUGUGCGCAUUCUGCAUUUGUGAGGGGGUAAGACAGCGGAGUUCAAGUUCGUGAUAAUAGCUAAAGGAGGUAAGUGUAUUAUUUGGGAGGAAGGGGAUAAUCGGUUGUUGGUUGUUCCAAAGAGUGGGUUUUAUGAUUUGGUAUGCGGAUGGAAUGAGAUGAGACAAGUGUUGAAUCUUCUGGCAAAGUUGAGUGAGGAGAAAGUGGAAGGCGAAGGUGAUGGUGAUUAACAUGGAUGAUGAGGGAGUUGUUGUUGAGGCAAAAGAAGAGGCUAUUUAUUUUGUGGAGCAAUGAUAGGGAAGCUAUGUUUCAUUUAUGCAAUCUAAUGAGCACAGAAAUAGGUUGAAAGAGAGGAGAUGGUACAUUAAGGGGCUUGAUGGCCUUGCACUAGAGAUGGUAGAGAGAGACAAAACUGUUAGGAAUUGGUGGUGCAAGGAUAAGGGCAACGACAGUUAGAAAUGGGGCUGAGCCAAAGGCUAGAAGUGGAGAGAGAGAUACCAUUUGAUCAAGAAACUGGAAUCAAUUCUUCUUAUUACCUCAGUGCACCAAGGCCAUUGAGACCACUGUUCAGAUUCCAAAUAGCUUUUUGGCUGCAAGCUGGAGUGGAUGCCAAUGAAGUGUCGAAAUAGAGAUGUUACGAAUCUAAUUUUAGGGAAUAUAAUUUAGAUGAUAGAAAAAAUUUCUAUUUUCUACAACUGCCUUGUCUACUAAUAUUUCAGGUCCACAAAAUCGAGUGCAAAUCAAUUCAACUCAGGAUACACAUGCGCAUGGAAAAAUUCUGUCUACUUUGAAUGUUUUUUAUUUUUGAUCACAUCAUCCUAGUCGAUUCCAAAUUAUCUGGUCGAUCAGUUAAAAAUAGAAACCUUAAUUAGGGCAUCCUGGUUAAGGCAGUUGCAAUUAAGUAAAUCAUCUUAGAUUAUAUUAUCAUC